rnacentral:rRNA from 1 species
CUCGCCUGCAUGAAGCUGGAAUUGCUAGUAAUCGCGGAUCAGCAUGCCGCGGUGAAUACGUUCCCGGGCCUUGUACACACCGCCCGUCAUACCAUGAGAGUCGGGAACACCCGAAGUCCGUAGUCUAACCCGCAAGGGAGGGCGCGGCCGAAGGUGGGUCCGGUAAUUGGGGUGAAGUCGUAACAAGGUAUC